CUUGACGACCAUAGAGCAUUGGAACCACCUGAUCCCAUCCCGAACUCAGCAGUGAAACGAUGCAUCGCCGAUGGUAGUAUGGGGUUUCCCCAUGUGAGAGUAGGUCAUCGUCAAGA
rnacentral:rRNA from 1 species